GCGACGUUGCGCCGGAUUUAUUGGGCGUAAAGGGCUCGUAGGUGGUUGAUCGCGUCGGAAGUGAAAUCUUGGGGCUUAACCCUGAGCGUGCUUUCGAUACGGGUUGACUUGAGGAAGGUAGGGGGAGAAUGGAAUUCCUGGUGGAGCGGUGGAAUGCGCAGAUAUCAGGAGGAACACCAGUUGCGAAGGCGGUUCUCUGGACCUUUCCUGACGCUGAGGAGCGAAAGCGUGGGGAGCGAACAGGCUUAGAUACCCUGGUAGUCCACGCUGUAAACGGUGGGUACUAGGUUGUGGGGUCCAUUCCACGGAUUCCGUGCCGUAGCUAACGCUUUAAGUACCCCGGCUGGGGAGUACGGCCGCAACNNAAAAACUCAAAGGAAUUGACGGGGGCCCGCACAAGCGCGGGACAUGCGGAUUAAUUCGAUGGNGANCGAAGAACCUUACCUGGGUUUGACAUGGAUCAGGAGKUCUCACANAUGGGUAUGCCUCUUUUNGGGGUUGGUUCACAGGUGGUGCAUGGCUGUCGUCAGCUCGUGUCGUGAAAUGUUGGGUUAAGUCCCGCAACGAGGGCAAACCUCGUUCACUGUUGCAGCACGUUAUGGUGGGGACUCAGUGGAGACCGCCGGGGUAA
rnacentral:rRNA from 1 species